AUGUUCCUGUCUUUAUCUGAGAUUACUCAACUGUAAAACGUGUUCUGUGGGCCAACUGUGACACUGGGAGUGUGGCAAUCGUCACUCAUUUGUUUAUUCCACAAACAUGUAUUGAGCAACUACUUCCUGUCACCAGUAAGGUUUUCUGAAGCUUUCUUUCCACCAGGGAAGACUGCAAAGGCCAGAGAUCAUUUUCACAACUAAAGGUCGUCAUCUGGGCAAAUGAACCACUCUGACUUGGAGAUUAGGGGCUCAGACAGCCGUGGAUGAGAGUCCAGCUCUACUACUUAUUAGCCUUGAUUAGACUGUGAGAGGGAUGGGAAAGACUGGUGCUUGGGGUGGCCAUCUGACCCCUGAUGGACAGGAGACCAGGACAAGCCCACUGGAUGAGCCGGAGGGGUCCAGGAGGAGGGAGUUGAGAGCUCCUGCUAGGGUUGACACAUUCUGGUAAGGAGUUCAUCUGCUGUCCACCAGGUAGGUGGUGUGCAAAUACAACUAAGCAUUCAUGUUUAAGGUUUUUUUUUAAUUUUUUAUUUUUCGAGGCAGAGUCUCCAUUGCCCAGGCUGGAGUGCAAUGGCGCCAUCUCGGCUCACUACAACCCCUGCCUCCCAGAUUAAAGUGCUUAUCCUCCCUCAGCCUCCUGAGUAGCUGGAAUUACAGUCGUGCCUCCACGCCCAGCUAAUUUUUGUAUUUUUAGUAGAGACGGGGUUUCACCAUGUUGGCCAGGCUGGUCUCAAACUCCUGACCUCAGGUGAUUCACCCGCCUUGGCCUCCCAAAGUGCUGGGAUUACAGGCAUGAACCACUGCGCCCGGACUUAUGUUUAAGGUUAUUUAAAAAGCAAAGCAAAAUCCUAACCAUGUUGAAUUUUUGAAUCUGCAGCAGAUUCAAAUUAAUGAAUUUAAAUCAUAUAUCAGGUAAAAUACUACCUUGACAUAUUUUGUGAUCAUACUGAGAGAAAAUUAAUAUAAAGCUAAUUCAAAAUUUUUUAAUUUGUAAAUCAAAAGAUUAAACCUUGUUAAAAUUUACAAAGAAUAUGCCACUAUAAGAAGAAGUAGCUCAACUUUAUUUCAGUAAAAUCACCAACAAAACAAUAAAAAGCCAAAACUAAAAA
rnacentral:lncRNA from 10 species